CAGGGAAUCUUGCGCAAUGGGCGAAAGCCUGACGCAGCGACACCGCGUGGAGGAUGAAGGCUUUAGAGUUGUAAACUCCUUUUCCCAGGGAAGAGAACGGACGGUACCUGGGGAAUAAGCAUCGGCUAACUACGUGCCAGCAGCCGCGGUAAUACGUAGGAUGCGAGCGUUGUCCGGAUUUACUGGGCGUAAAGGGCGAGUAGGCGGUUGUUCAAGUCUUAUGUGAAAUCUCCCGGCCCAACUGGGAGGCGCCAUAGGAAACUGAAUAACUUGAGGACAGCAGAGGAAAGCGGAAUUCCCGGAGUAGCGGUGAAAUGCUUAGAUACCGGGAGGAACACCAGAGGCGAAGGCGGCUUUCUGGGCUGCACCUGACGCUGAGGCGCGAAAGCAUGGGGAGCGAACCGG
rnacentral:rRNA from 1 species